AACGACUCUCGGCAACGGAUAUCUCGGCUCUCGCAUCGAUGAAGAACGUAGCGAAAUGCGAUACCUGGUGUGAAUUGCAAAAUCCCGCGAACCAUCGAGUCUUUGAACGCAAGUUGCGCCCGAGGCCUUCGGGCCGAGGGCACGCCUGCCUGGGCGUCACGCCA
rnacentral:rRNA from 1 species